rnacentral:lncRNA from 1 species
UCUCUUUCGUCAAUAGGAUAUACUUUUAGUUCCAACAUUUGUAAUUCCUCAAUUUAUACGUUUAGUUCUACUUGUCAAAACAUACAACAAACUAUGAUACUUGUAUUUACUAUGUGGAACAUGCUUUGAGAGGUAUGAGACAUUAGCAAUUGGGUAUAUUGGAGGUUUUUAAUCUUAAAAUGUUGUAUGAUGAGUGCAAUUGUUAAACAUUCUUUUGUUCUACACAAUUAUUUUGUUCUAAUUGUUGAAAUGUUUAAAGACUCUAUCUUUUAAAAU